rnacentral:rRNA from 1 species
GACGAACGCUGGCGGCGCGCUUAACACAUGCAAGUCGAGCGAUGAAAUUUCGCCAGAUCCCUUCGGGGUGAAGAUGAAAUGGAUUAGCGGCGGACGGAUGAGUAACACGUGAGUAACCUGCCUUUGACAAUGGGAUCGCCUCGGGGAACUGGGAUUAAUACCAAAUGACACUAACUGAUCACAUGAUCAAUUAGUCAUAGAAAUUCGGUCAAAGAUGGACUCGCGGCUGAUUGGCCCGUUGGUGAGGUAACGGCCCACCGAGGCGUAGAUCGGUAGCCGGCGUGGGAGGGUGAUCGGCGACAUUGGAACGGAGACACGGUCCAAGGUCCGAAGGGAGGGAGCAGUGGGGAAUAUUGCAGCAAGGCGGAAACAGUGAUGCAGCGUCGCCGAGGGAGCGAAGAAGGCCUUCGGGUCGUAAAGCUCUUUUAUGAGGGAAGAUAAUGACGGUACCUGAAGAAAAAGCCCCGGCUAACUACGUG